ensembl:lncRNA
AUGCAGCUCGGGUGCUGGUGCCGGUGCUGGCCGCACGCACCGGACAGCGGCUCUGGGUGCAGGCGUAGGGCACGGGACCGGGCGCUGGGUGUGUGUGUGCGUGUGUGUGUGUGUGUGUGUUUUGACGUGAGGAAGUGCCAAAGCUGCAAUUGCUUUAGGAAGUCAAUCGCAGGGGCCGGGGGACGCGUGCGCAGUGCAGCCGCUCCGCUCCGCUCGGCUCCCGCUGCCUCUCCCUCUCCCUCCGGUGCCGAACCCGGGGGCAGCGCACGGGCGGCGGCCGUGGGUACGGGGCAGCGGACGGCGCUGCUCGACGGCGCGGAUGCCCGACCCUCUCGUGCGCACCCACACCUCCCCAUGGGCUCCGGCUCUGUGCGGUUCUGCUUCCUGAUCUGCCAUCCCAGUGGCCCCAGCACGGUGGGACACCCCUGCAGCACGGCCCCGCUCCAUCCCCACGUCCCCAUCCCUUGGCCACCCCGUGCUCUGUGCUCCAGUGCUGCAUCAGAGCCCGCACUGCCUUUGCUUUCAGCGCAGUGGGAUGCAAGGGGCCACCGGAGUUUGCUGUGGGGUUUUGCUGGCUGUGCAGCCACUGAGAACGAGUUUGGUUGGUACAAGGGAAGCAAAGCAAAGGGAAAAACGAGGAUUUUGCAAUGCACCUGCCAACAGUGCUGUCUGAGGGCGCAGAGCUGCUGCCGAGCGGGGUGACAAGGUCACAGCCGUCCUGCCAGCACUCGGGGCUAUAAAUAGGGACAAUUGGGAGAGAAGCACAGACUCUCUCCUUUUUAGUUCCUGCAGAAGCACAGAGAGCCAGCGGGAGGGCUUCAAGGGCUGGGGAGAGGAGCUUGUAGCAGGCGACUGCGGCCCCCAGUCCUUGUGCCCCUGGUGCAUGGCUCCAAGCCUCUGCCACCAGCAUCCCUUGCUCAGCCUGUCUCCUGCCGGGAUGCACAUCCCAGGUCCUGGCUCUGCAGCAGGAUGGUGACCUGGGGCAACAGAACACGGAGCAUUCCCACUGCAGGUGGGACAUGGGGCAGGCGCAGCUGGGGCCGCUGAGCUCUGCCAAGCUCUGGGCCUGGCCAACACUUGACACAGAGUUUGGGUGUAGGGCUGGGAGCUGAGAACUUCCUCCGUUUCCUUCCACUCACAUGAUGCCGUGGAGCAGCUCUGACUUCCCCAUCCUGGCCCUAAGUGCCCUGAUCAUGCCUGGGCAUGGCGCAGGGUACAGCUGUGCAAGGCUGAGCCCUGAUCACGGAUUGUACACAAACCCUGCAGGGCAGAACUGGGAUUUGGGGCAUCCAGCACGGGGCAGGCAGCCCCCAGGCAGUGGGGGGACCCUAUGGGUGCCGCAUGCGGGCGAGCUGUCACACUGCCAGCAAAGGAAGAGCAGAGUCAGAGCGCAGCGUGGGGCAGCCCGCUGCCAUGCCCUCCCCUUCUCCUUUCCUUCUCACUUCCUUUUCUUGCACCAGUGCCCGCCUGCGUUGCCCCAGCCUGCAGCCUGCACAGGGCUCUUCCCAGCAUGGCACAGCCCUUCCCCAGCGGCUCCCAUGCGGGGUCCAUCCUCACCAUGGGGGUAACACGGUGCC